GUCUCAAUAGCACAGUGGUUAGUGCACAACCCGUGAUAUUUUGAGACGCGGGUUCGAUUCCCGGCUGAGGUG
rnacentral:tRNA from 1 species